UUCCGGUUGAUCCCGCCGGAGGUUACUGCUAUCGAGGUUCGACUAAGCCAUGCGAGUCGAAUGUAGCAAUACAUGGCGAACUGCUCAGUAACACGUGGACAACCUGCCCUUAGGACGGGGAUAAACCCGGGAAACUGGGUAUAAUACCCGAUAGGUCUCGAUUGCUGGAAUGCAUCGAGAUUUAAAGCUCCGGCGCCUAAGGAUGGGUCUGCGGCCUAUCAGGUAGUAGUGGGUGUAGCGUACCUACUAGCCUACGACGGGUACGGGUUGUGAGAGCAAGAGCCCGGAGAUGGAUUCUGAGACACGAAUCCAGGCCCUACGGGGUGCAGCAGGCGCGAAAACUUUACAAUGCUGGCAACAGCGAUAAGGGAACCUCGAGUGCCAGGUUACAAAUCUGGCUGUCGAGAUGCCUAAAAAGCAUUUCAUAGCAAGGGCCGGGCAAGACCGGUGCCAGCCGCCGCGGUAACACCGGCGGCUCGAGUGGUAACCGUUAUUAUUGGGUCUAAAGGGUCUGUAGCCGGCCGGAUAAGUCUCUUGGGAAAUCUGGCAGCUUAACUGUCAGGCUUUCAGGAGAUACUGUCUGGCUCGAGGCCGGGAGAGGUGAGAGGUACUUCAGGGGUAGGGGUGAAAUCUUGUAAUCCUUGAAGGACCACCAGUGGCGAAGGCGUCUCACCAGAACGGACCUGACGGCAAGGGACGAAAGCUAGGGGCACGAACCGGAUUAGAUACCCGGGUAGUCCUAGCCGUAAACGAUACUCGCUAGGUGUCAGCCACGGUGCGACCGUUGUCGGUGCCGUAGGGA
rnacentral:rRNA from 1 species